UACGUAGGGUGCAAGCGUUAAUCGGAAUUACUGGGCGUAAAGCGUGCGCAGGCGGUUGUGCAAGUCAGAUGUGAAAUCCCCGGGCUCAACCUGGGAACUGCAUUUGUGACUGCACGGCUAGAGUACGGUAGAGGGGGAUGGAAUUCCGCGUGUAGCAGUGAAAUGCGUAGAUAUGCGGAGGAACACCGAUGGCGAAGGCAAUCCCCUGGACCUGUACUGACGCUCAUGCACGAAAGCGUGGGGAGCAAACAGG
rnacentral:rRNA from 1 species